UACGUAGGGGGGCUAGCGUUGUCCGGAAUCAUUGGGCGUAAAGCGCGUGUAGGCGGUCCGGUAAGUCCGCUGUGAAAGUCGGGGGGCUCAACCCUCGGAUGCCGGUGGAUACUGUCGGGCUUGAGUACGGAAGAGGCGAGUGGAAUUCCUGGUGUAGCGGUGAAAUGCGUAGAUAUCGAGAGGAACACCUGCGGCGAAGGCGGGUUGCUGGGCUGAUACUGACGCUGAGGCGCGAAAGCCAGGGGAGCGAACGGG
rnacentral:rRNA from 1 species